rnacentral:rRNA from 1 species
GAUCCUGGCUCAGAGCGAACGUUAGCGGCAGGCCUAACACAUGCAAGUCGAGCGAGAAUAGGGCUUCGGCUCUUAGUAAAGCGGCGGACGGGUCGCGUAACACGUAGAUAAUCUGCCCUCUAGCGGGGAACAACAGUCCGAAAGGAUUGCUAAUGCCGCAUGUCACUGCGGGGACUCCGGUCCCUGUUGGAAAAGGGGCCCCGCAAGGGUCUCACUAGAGGAUGAGUCUGCGGCCCAUCAGCUUGUUGGCGGGGUAAUGGCCCACCAAGGCAAAGACGGGUAGCUGGUCUGAGAGGAUAACCAGCCACACUGGGACUGAGACACGGCCCAGACUCCUACGGGAGGCAGCAGUGGGGAAUAUUGGACAAUGGGCGCAAGCCUGAUCCAGCCAUGCCGCGUGAGUGAUGAAGGUUCUUCGGAUCGUAAAGCUCUGUGGGAAGGGAAGAAAAAAGUAUACCUCAUAC